UCGCCCAUGAUGAAGGGCGUUUCCUGGGCCUUGUCCAGCCUUUCGUAGGCGGCAUAGAACUCCUUGCACUGCUGAUUGA
ensembl:snoRNA snoRNA:Me28S-G2743